rnacentral:misc_RNA from 1 species
GAUGAAGAACGUAGCGAAAUGCGAUACGUAGUGUGAAUUGCAGAAUUCAGUGAAUCAUCGAAUCUUUGAACGCACAUUGCACCUCUCGGUAUUCCGGGAGGUAUGCCUGUUCGAGCGUCAUUUGUACCCUCAAGCUCUGCUUGGUGUUGGGGCCUGCUGCACUGGCAGCCCUUAAAAUCAGUGGCGGCGCCAUCUGGCUCUAAGCGUAGUAAUUCUUCUCGCUAUGGAGUCCUGGUGGAUGCUUGCCAUCAACCCCCAAUUUUUCUAUGGUUGACCUCGGAUCAGGUAGGGAUACCCGCUGAACUUAAGCAUAUCAAUAAGCGGAGGA